rnacentral:rRNA from 1 species
CGGUAGGCUUAACACAUGCAAGUCGUGCGAGAAAGUACCUUCGGGUGCGAGUAGAGCGGCGGACGGGUGAGUAACGCGUAGGAAUCUACCUAGUAGAAGGGGAUAGCCCGGGGAAACUCGGAUUAAUACCGUAUACCUCCUUAGGGAGAAAGAGGGCUUAGCUUUGAUGCUCUCGCUAUUAGAUGAGCCUGCGUAAGAUUAGCUUGUUGGUGAGGUAAUGGCUCACCAAGGCGACGAUCUUUAGCUGGUCUGAGAGGACGAUCAGCCACAUUGGGACUGAGACACGGCCCAGACUCCUACGGGAGGCAGCAGUGGGGAAUAUUGGACAAUGGGCGCAAGCCUGAUCCAGCCAUACCGCGUGUGUGAAGAAGGCUUUCGGGUUGUAAAGCACUUUAAGUAAGGAGGAAAAGAUUGUAGUUAAUACCUGCAAUCCGUGACGUUACUUACAGAAUAAGGACCGGCUAA